UGAUGCUUUCCAUGCUUUUAUCCAUUACAAGUGGGAAUUUAGGAUUACUUUUCUGAAUGUUUCUUGUCUUCUGUUCUCCUCUCCACUCUAGGAAAUGUUAAGUCUUGGACGGUGCUUUUAAGAGUCAGUGUGAUGCAAGAAAACUGAGCUCAAACUUCUGUGAUUCUUCAAUCAGCGCCACAAGCUGUAGCCACAAUUCUUUCCUGCCUGUGUUCUCCAGUCGGGGGCGCUGCCAUUCUCCUUAAGAAUACAGACACAGACAGUAAUAUGGGCCAUAUAUUUCACCCUCUUAUAUCAAUGUGCCAAAGUAUCCUCUGGUCAUUUCCACAUUUCUCAUCUCCCACUGUGACUCUGUAACUACUGCCAGUAUAACUCACAUGCUGUGUCGUUAUAUGCUGCCCCCUGCACAUGAGUUAUAUGGUUUAUUAUCUCCACUUUCUUAUUUCAUCCCAGUAAAAUUGACUCACCUAUGGCUGCCUGUAAUCUGCUGCUUGAAAAUGAAAAUCAUCAAUCUGUGAAACUCCUUAAAGUGAAGUUUCACCUGACAACAAUUGUAGAUCAACAUAUUGUAUGUUGGCGUUUCAGGCCAGCUAUUUGUGUAGUCUUUCCUUUCUGUUUGCAGCCCUUUACCAACACAUCCCUCCGCUCCCGGGUCAUCCCAUCAGUAUCCCCCAACAGAGAUAUACCAUCUUUGCUGCCGUGUCCAUCAAAUUUGUUUCCUGUGGCGACAGGUCUGACCUUUUGCCCUGCGUGUGUCCAAUCCAAAUGCCAGUUCAGCGGACCAGAACGAGCAAGACACUCAAAUGGUCCUGGCAUUUGCAGAAUUGCUUCCCUCUCUGUGGUUUUCUUCCAUGCAGUUUUUUUUGUCUGUAAAGGAUAACACUCUGCUUAAACUGCAGGGUAUAAACCUCACUCCUGGAUCAGAGCCAGAUGUUACAACCCACACUGAGUCCCAUGUGUUACUCCAGCUGGCAUCUCCAGACUCCCAAUGACUAGACUGAGUCAGAGCCCUUGGUGACCUGUGGAUAGCUGGACGUCCCGAGGAAUGAGCGACCCGGGUGAACUGUAACAGACCGGAGGGGUGAAGACAUGUGAGAUGAAAUGAAGAGAACAGAGAGGUGGUUAGUGAGGGAGGGGGAGGUGGGGGGAUUGAUUCAUAUGUCAGGAUAUCAGAUGUCUCCAAGGCAACAGAAGUUGUGAGGAAGCGGGUUGGCAGGAAGGAGAAAAAAUGGAUGGCAACAAUAAGAGAGAGUGGGGUAAAAAUGGACCCUAUGACGUGUCGGCCAUAAUGAGUGAUCAUAUGUGCUAAGAGUCAAUGCAGACACACACACACACACACACACACACACACACACACACACACACACACACACACACACACACACACACACACACACACACACACACACACACACACACACAGUUCACUGUAAAAAAAAGAAGCAAGUGAGCAAACCUGGAGGAACACUACACCUCCUGCAGAGCUUUUGUGCAGCUUCUGUUCAGCCUCAUUUCUGUGUACCCAACCACAACUCCUCCUUCGUAUCCUUCCAGGAAGUCAAUUGGACGUCAGCAGGGAAGAUGGUGGUGGAACACUCUGUGGGUUGACUCCCUCAGCUGCUUUUUUCCACAUAUAAUUGCAUUAGUCGCUGCCUAUGUGUUGGCACAUCUGUCCGUCCAUGGAGAGAACAGGCAACACACUGGUGCCGUUAUGUAUUAUUCACUGAGGAAGAACACUUUUAGGUUUGUAAUAACUUCAGUGUUAGACAGACAUAGACAUAGGGUUUGGCCCCUUAAUGAGAGCAGAACAGACACAUUAACCUUUUCUGUUGUCUGUCCUCCUCUCAACACUGAAGAUCCUCAGACGCUUGUGUACAGAUCUCAUUAUUUCGUAAAGGAAGCUGUUAACAGUGUGAGCAUGAAGUGGUAUGACAUUCAGCUGUUCCUCCAUUUUGAUAAACUUUCAGAUAUUCUUUUUUAUAUUUAUCAUAUUUAUAAGGUCUCUCGUGUUUAUAAUAAUACUUCAAGGUUUGUGUUAAAGUAACAAUCAUUUUUCAAGUAAGAAAGCUUAAACAUUCAAACUUUACAACUUCUUUUCUACAGUUGUCUGUGAUCAGUUUUAUUAAAUAUUUACAUGUAGAUUGUUGUUGACACACAGGGACAUAACCAACACUGAAAAAGCACUGAUGCAGAGAAUUUACACUAAAUUAUAAAAUAUCUACAUAAUUUCUAAUCAAAAUGUGCAAACAUCUAAUACAGCCCCAGUAUCAGUCCUCAUCUGUGUGUUUUUAUCUGUUUUUGUAUCACAGGAAAAUCUAUUUGAAUUUGUCACUUAGGGUUCUAGAAAAUUGUGAUGAGCUCUCAAAACAAUUAGUUAACAAUAUAAUCAGUGGAAUAGUCAAAAUGAUGACCAGUUGCACUGCAAAUAAACCAACUAGUCUUGGGUCAGUUCUGAAUUGCAUAACUACAACUGAUUCAGCACUGAAACCUUUUAAAACACGUUUUGCUUGAUAAGUGUAACAGGUCGAGUGUCUGCUGGGUGCUGAGUGAGCACUGCCUGCCUCUCUGCUGGCUUCAGAUGACAGACAGCAGUGGGUGAGGGUUUAAAUGGGGCUCUGCAAUCUAUAUGGUAAGUGGCUCUUUUUACAGGUUGAUUACAUCAGACAAUGACCUCCGAGAGGACCUCAGAAGGCAAGACGUGUAAUUAUCUCCACUCAGAGCUGGAAUAGCUGACAUGCUUUACAUGCCAGACUGAGGUUGACGUGAUGUGGGUCCUCGCCACUACAGGUUGAACCGUCAGGACCGGGUUCCCUUUCACAACCUGGUGAAGGAUGUAAUGUUGAAGGUUUAUCCUCCUCUCUAGAUCUGGGUUGUCUGCAUAGUUGCACCUGUGCGUGUGCAAACAGACAUAGAUAUGUUUGUAUGUGGAUUGAUAAAUGUUAUAUGCAUUCUGUAGGCACCUUUGCUUGACUGUCAGUUGACAAACGUUACAAAUUGAAUGUAUUAGUUACAUAAGUCCUAUGUGUCUGAGAGCAAAUAUCCAUACAUCUGAGUGAGCUCAGAGGCAAAUGUAGAGAAAUAUUUAUGAGAAGGCAAGAGGGUGCCAGAAAUAUAUGCUGAUUUAAUCACAAACAAUCACCUGUAUCAGCAUUUGCUUGGAAAAGCCUCCAAAUGAAUAUAUUUGAACUAAAAAUCAUUAUAAUGGAACAUUAGUAACUCAUUGAAUAGAAAUAUCCAAUCAAUUAAUUUCUUUUCUUCAGACAUUUUUCUAAAUGUCUUUUUUAGCUGACCUUGAGCCUGUUAAUUAGUCUAGAAUGUGUCCAUAACAGAUCAUUAAAUCAUUUAAAAACUU